UACGUAGGGGGCAAGCGUUGUCCGGAUUUAUUGGGCGUAAAGAGCGUGUAGGCGGCUUGGUAGGUCCGCUGUGAAAACUCGAGGCUCAACCUCGAGAUGUCGGCGGAAACCACUUGGCUAGAGUCCGGAAGAGGAGAGUGGAAUUCCCGGUGUAGCGGUGAAAUGCGCAGAUAUCGGGAAGAACACCUAUGGCGAAGGCAGCUCUCUGGAACGGUACUGACGCUGAGACGCGAAAGCGUGGGGAGCGAACAGG
rnacentral:rRNA from 1 species